UCCAGGGUAGUCUAGUGGACAUGGCAUCUGCCCGGAACACUGUGGGUUCGAUUCCCAUCCCUGGAC
rnacentral:tRNA from 1 species